CUCCAUGCUUGCACUUUUGGCACAAACUUUUCCUUGUGUCCCACAUUGGCCCAUUUUAUCUCUAAAUUCAUGCUUUUGGCCCUUAAUUUCACUUUUGCCUCAAAUUUAGUCCCUAUGAGAUAAAAGAUCAUAAAUAGCUCAAAUUAGCAAGAUAAUACUCAGAAUAAAUACAUAAAUAAUACAUAAAAAUACGCUAUUCUAGAGUGUUAUCACUUAGUUUCUUAAAUUCUAAGUCUUUAUUUCGUAAACUUACUCUUAACCAACCACCUCUUUAGAUUGUUCAAUUUUCCCGGAUCGAAAUCAAGACGAUCCACAGAUCUCUCCUUUUUGACCGAUAUAGAGGUCGAUCGACAUAACAUAUAAAAUCGUCAAACUCGUAAAAGGAAUCAUGAUUCUUAAUUCAUAAGGGUUAUCCAUUGGAAAGAUCUAAGUGUAGGCAUCUUAGGGAGUUGUAACACAUCGGAUCUACAAUCAGGUGUGGGUUCUACAUUAAUUAAAAAAAUGAAAAUAUGUUUCAUGUUGUUAAAAAUUUAUUAGUAUCACUAAAUGGUGUUUAUCAAGAAUACUCUAUGUAUUCGAAAAGAGGAAUAAAAAUCUAUCAAAUUGGAAUAUCUAAGUAAGUGAAACUAAACCGUUGUUUUUGUGAUUUGUAUGAUCGUAAUUAUUAUUAUUGAUAUAAAAUGUAUGAAAAUAUCAUUCUCAUGUUAAGUGAUAUUAUGGCAUAUGUGAGUUUCGCAUAAUUUAUAAAAUGUGAAAUAUUAAUAUAUAUGUAUAUAUAUUGUGUAAAUAUGUGAUUAGCAUGUGAAGCAUGCCUAUGUAAUUUUAAGUGAUGAGCGAUAUAAUGAGCAUGCCUUACAUGCCAAAGUGAAAAAAUUGAUUUUUAAAGUGAAAAAGUGAUUUUUGGUCAUAUCACAUGCAUAAGGUGAGAUAUGUGAAAUGAGGAAGAAGUGGAAGUUUAUUUGCAAAAGUGGUAACUUGUCCACAAUAUUAUAAAGUGGCAGUUUAUCUGCAAAAGUGGUGACUUGUCCAUAAUUUUAUUAAGUGGCAGUUCAUCUACAAAAGUGGUGGUUUGUCCAUAAUAUUAUUAAAUGGCAGUUUAUCUGCAUUACUGUGACACUGUUCACAAAUUGGAGUGUUUGGAUGGACAAGUUUUGGGGAACUCGAUUGUGUUGUGUAGCGGUGAUAGGUAAGAUGUUUUAAAUAAAAUUGCAUAAAUGUUUUAUAAAACAACAUCGCCAUAACCAUGUGCAUAAAGUGAAAUAUUUACUUGAUUGAUGAUUAUGUAUUCAUUUACAUUUAUUUGUUAAAAGACUCACAAUGAAUUUUAAAAGCUCACCCCUUUUAGUGUUAUAACCUUUUAAGAAAUACUCGGACAUAGGGCUUGGAUUCAAUAUUCGGUGGAGCCUCUCGGAUGGUUUAUUUUAUGGAUUUUUAAUAAUGGUUUUUUAAACUAUGUGGUUUUUGUUUGUUGACUUUGGACUUUGGACUUUGGACACUUCUUUUAUUUUGGGUUGUUGGUUAUUUAUAACUUAGAAUUGCUAUGCAUGCAUGAAGAUUUUAUGCGACUUUAAGUAUUUUAAAAUAUGGAAUUUAUUUAAACUAUUUACGAUUUUACGUGGUUAAAACAAAUUUAUAUUUCUAAGUAGUUUAAUGAAAGUCCGUUGCAAAACAUUUUUACCCAAAACCUUUUUAAUAAAUUAUUAUAAAAAAAAACCUUUAUUUUCAAAUAACUUAAAAUGGCAUUAUAAUAUAAUGUCGUACUUUACUUUCAAAAGAUUAUAUUUUUAAUAAGUAUUUUUUUUAAAAACAAAAUCAUUAAAUAUUCAAAAUUUUAAGUUUUCACAAAACACCUCAACCCUAGUCAAUUUCAAAAUGUAAAUAAUUUCAAGCGUUGUUAAUGUAACUUCUGAGAUUCGGUCAUAACGUCUAGGCCGGGUUUGGGGUGUUAUAGAAAGAAUUAAGUACUAAAGUUGUUUUGAUUGAUCUUUAAAAUUGAUGAUCUCUCUACUUCUUGUAGGACCUUUGAAAAAUGGUAUUUAUACCCUCUAAUACAUUUCCAACCGUUGGAGUUGUUGUGAAAGUUAAUAGAGUCGUUGGGGAUGAAAAUACCAUAUAAUUAAAUUCACCUGCAGCAAAAGGUAUCGAUACUUUUUUUGUGAGUAUUGAUACUAUUAGCAUUUAAUGCCUGAUUCAGUGACCGUUGAAAUUAGUUUACAACGAUACCACCAAUAAAUUAUCGAUACAUGGUAAAAGGUAUUGAUAAUUUUUGUAAAGGUAUCGAUACUUUUUGUGUAAAUUGAAAAUAGAAUGUCAAAUUAGUAUCGAUUUUAAAAUGGGUAGCGAUAUCUUGAAAAUUAUUGAUACUUGGUCAAAAAGCAUCAAUACUUUUUGGCUUGGAGCAAUACUGACUUGUUUAAAAACAAUUUUAACAUGAUUGAAAAUUUUUAGCUCAAUUGAAAUCAUUUUAACUUGAUUUUAUCAAUUUUUCCAAUUUUGUUCAACUUUAACUUUUAUUCAAAAACACUUUAAUUUGUUAUAUCAAAAGAUAUUAUUAAAUAAAGCUUGGUUUAACAUUUUAACUUAGCCACACAUCACAAGUCAGUUGUUGUUGUUGUUGUUUUGUCUAUCUCUUCUUCUCAUGUACAAACAAAAAGAAAAUUGAACAAAAAUUAUUUUAUGAAUUUUUUCUUCUAGUUUUCUUUUCAAUAUUGAGACUGAAACUAAAAGAGGAUGUGGAUCUGCAUGAUCAGAUAGCUAGCGCUAUCUUGGCAAAGUGGAUCUCAACCUUACAAAGGUUUUCUAAAUUUCUAGUGUGGGUUACCAUUAAAGGUCGGACAUGUGGACAUCAGUUGGUUUUCGACAAUUGAGCUCAGUAUUCUUAUGAAAAUAGAGAAAUAAGUAAAUGAGGAUGGUGACCACCCUUGUUUCAGGUGUUAUUCUUCUAUUGUAUUUUGUGUUUCAUAAUGUAAUAAAAUCGUUCAAAUUUAUCCUUGAUAGGAUAUGAUUUGUUUUAUGUUUCAUGUUUCCACUGCAUUUAAUUUGAUUCUUGUUUCAAUUUUAUUUGUUGGCUAUAAUUAGGUUUCAUGAUUUUAUCUCAUUGAGUUUUUCCUAAUAAGAUUUUAAUGAGACACAUUUUCGUUGAUGAACGUCCAAAAGAGCUGUUGUAAACCCAUUGUUAAAUGGAUGUCCAUAUAACUCUCAAAACUCUCUAAGAACUUAUUCUCUUGUAACCCCUAAAGAUUUGAUAAGGUUCAUUAAGUUUCUUAUUUAUGUAUUUGUAACAUAUGGUGAUUGAGACCCUAUAAAUAGAGGGUAUAUAUAAGCUUAUUGCAUUCUAAGUAAAAGAUGAAUUAUACUUUCACUUUUUGUCUAAUCUUCGCUCUUGUUCGUACUAUAAUUCCUCUAAUUUCAUAAUAAUAUAUAAAGUUGAAGCAACACCUUAUAUUUUGCUUUAAAGCGUGUUUGCUGCAGAUAAUCUUAUAUUCCUAGAGCUAAUGUAAGAUCUUGGAAUAACAUUUUCCGUUUGGAUUCGAAGAUUAUCUUAAGCCAAUAAUCCUAAAUUCCUAACGUUUUAGAAUAUGAUAAUCUCAAUAACACAUUUUCCUCAAGUAAUCUUAUAUUACCUUGAUAAUGUGAAAUUUUGUACUAUUUUACCUUUUUUAUUGACUUUUAUCAAAUUUACUUUAACAAAAACAAAAUAAUAAUGAAAGUAACAUUUAUAUUGAAAUCAUUAAUGAAUUUCUUAAAAAUCAAAUGAAUUAAAAAAGUAAUGUAGCUACCAUCCAAUUAAAAAAAGAACACAUCAGUGGAGUUCUAUAACUGGAAUUAUUUUUCGGCGAUGAGUGAUUCUGAAAAUUUGUCUGGUGAUCGGGUUGGGGCCGAAAAUGAUACCAAUGGGGAUCGUAAUACCAAAAAAGUCAGGUUUAAGGAUGUGGGAAAGGAUUCCACAAAAAACAUACUGGUAGAUAUACAUCUAGUGAGUGGUGUUUCAUGGAACGAUAAACUUUUGGGAGGGAGAGGUUCGAGACCCUCUGAUGGUGCUACUGAUAUGGAUCUUGAAAUUGAAGAUGGCGACAUUCUUCGAUCCAUAUUUAAUGGUAUCCCCACUCUUGAUUUUUCGGAGCGGUUAAAAAAAAUCCUGGUAAAAGACAUGGAAUCGACUGUUGUCGUCAAGUUGCUAGGAUGCAAUAUUGGGUAUGGGGUCUUACAUAAUCGGAUCUCCAACCUUUGGAGACCUUCUCAACCCUUUCGUCUGAUGGACGUGGAAAACGGGUACUAUCUUAUCUGAUUCUAGAAUAGAGUAGAUUAUGAUAUGGCUCUAACUCAAGGUACUUGGAUAGUGUUUGGGCACUAUCUCACAGUCCAGCCAUGGACGGUAGAUUUUGACGCUCUAAGACCUUUUCCAAGCACGAUUUUGGCUUGGAUCCGCUUUUCGGGACUGCAGGGAUUUUUGUACAAAAAAAGUGUUAAAGGAGAUCGGAAACUUGGUGGGAACAGUGGCAAAAGUAGACAUAAAAACAAAUAGUGGAGUAAGAGGGCAAUUCUCCAGAAUGGCAGUGUUUGUAGAUCUGGAAAAACCGCUUACCUCGUAAGUGUUGAUCAAUGGCAGAAUUCAAUGAGUGGAGUUUGAAGCUCUACCCAUGGUAUGUUUUUCCUGCGAUAAAUAUGGCCAUUUUAAUAUGUUUGUUCUUCCUUUUUGGCAGAUCAGAGUACUCGCGGUAGAAAAGAGGACUCGACCGAAGUGAUGUACAAUGAAUCAACUCAAGCAAGGACGGGAGGUCCUUGGAUGGUAGUUGAGCGCAAAUAUAGGUGAAAUCAAUCUGGAAAAUAGAAUCAACAUGCAAGAUAUUCGGAGGAAAAUUCAAUUGGAACCAAACUUACGGCGUUAUCCUCUCUGGAAGAUCAACCGGUGGGAUUGUUGGCUGAUAUUUCGGACUUGGAAGGAACGAAGUUUAAGUAGGGAUAGUUUACUAAGAAGGGUAAAUUACACCAACAAUCACUCAACUUUGAGGUAGCUAACAAAACAGUCACUUAGGUUUCAUUUCAAUCAGUC
rnacentral:lncRNA from 1 species